UACGUAGGUGGCUAGCGUUGUCCGGAUUUACUGGGCGUAAAGCGCGCGCAGGCGGUCGUUCAAGUCGAGUGUGAAAGCCCCCCGGCUCAACUGGGGAGGGUCACUCGAUACUGAUCGACUUGAAGGCAGAAGAGGGAAGCGGAAUUCCCGGUGUAGUGGUGAAAUGCGUAGAUAUCGGGAGGAACACCAGUGGCGAAGGCGGCUUUCUGGUCUGUUCUUGACGCUGAGGCGCGAAAGCUAGGGUAGCAAACGGG
rnacentral:rRNA from 1 species